UUAUGCAUAUGCAAAAGAUGAAGUUGUAUCUCUACCGCCAAAAUUCACCUGAAAUGGAUCAGUGACCUCAAUGUACAAACUGAAAUGAUAAAACUCUCAGAAGAAAACAUAGAUGUAAAUUUUCAUGACCUUGGAUUAGACAAUGAUUUUUAAAGUAUGACCUCAAAACACAAGCAGUUGAAGAAAAAAUAAAUUAAACUUUUUCAAAAUUAAAAAUAUUCUUGCUUCAAAAGAUACUAUAGAGAAAGUGAAAAAUACAAGCCACAGAAGGAAACAACUAUUUGCAAAUCAUAUGUCUGUUAAGGGUCGUGUAUCCAGAAUAUAAAGAUCCCUUGCACUCAAUAAUAAAAAGAAAAUAACUUCAGGGAAAUUUUAAUUUUAACAAAGGCUCAACUACGCUGCUGGUGAUAGGGGGAUGAAGCCAAUGGGUCACAAGUACAUGGGACAGCGUGGAGCGGAGCUGGUCCUGAAGUCCAAGGAGCAGGCCCUUGGAACCUGUGAUCUGUAGCUAGAUGGUCAGAAGCACAGUGACAAGCUGCAGUGGAAGAAAGAGAGGUUACUAUUAAUUUUCAGACAGGAGUACAGGCACAGAGCGAUGUCCUCCAGAAGACGGGCCCUUCCCCAGGCUUCUGCCUGCACCUGUGUGAGGGAGCUCAGCCUCUGAGGGCCUGCGUGAGAGCAGCACCCUGCCCCUCUGGGACGAUCGAAGACUGAGGACUGCGCUCCACCCCUUGCUUCUCACACCUGGUGAGAAAGACGACUGGAGACAUAGAAGCUCUCAUGGGCCCCGAGUCUCACAAAGGAAGGGUGAUUUUCUCCCCUCCUACCUUCCUCCAAACAUAAACAUCAUCAUUUAAUCACAGAACAUUUCCCACACUUUCUUAAGUCUGGUUCUCAAAAGGGCCUUCCCAGGACAGAAGCUGAACCCGUUCCUGCCCCCCGGGGUGCUGCCACCUUGCAAGCCUCUCCUGGACUGAGCCCUGUGCUCACAGGCCAGCUGCCAGGGCUGAGUGCCCAAGGGCACGCUCAGGAGGGUCUGCAUCCCUCCACUCCCGGCAAACCCAGAGGUCCAGGUCCACCUCUGAAUGUGCUUCCUCAGCGGGAGGCACUUUGAGCCCAGAGGGGGGCCUGUUGUGGUGGUUUCCAGAACAACACACGUUUGGGGGACAACCUAUCAGGCAGACAUGACAGCACCUUCACUGUUUACACCCAAUUGUGUGCAUCUCUUUAGAAUACUUUUAAACAGUGCUCCCCUGUGACCAGGCUGAGAAAGGUUGAGUAAAAUGUGGAUUUGGGCAUUUCUUGACUAAGCUUACAUCCAAGACAUAUCUUUUUUUGCUAUAAUGAAAAGCCUGUCAACACACUCUAAUAAAAUACAUGUCUCUACCAAUAUAUUUCUUAUAGUGAGAAUUACCUCAAUAUUAAAAGAAAAAACAAGGGAAAAUGCAUGUACACCUGUAUGUGAAUAUAACUAUCUAUAUCCAUCUAUGCAUAUAUGAAAAAAGAAUACUAUUUCAAUGCUAUAACAUUGGAUUUAUUUCAUUAGUGAAAUAGUAUCUCAUGAGUCUAACAUGGCAUUGGCUUGUUUAGAUCCCCUUCAGUGCGCCUCAAUGCCUUGAAGGGAAAGUAUAGUAUUUUUUCAAAGGCUUAUAAUGAUUUUCACUAAGUGGUUUAUGCUCAUUGCUUUAGGUUUAUAUUUACUAUUACCCAUUUUGAGUUGAGUGCUCCAGCCGAUCUGCAUCACUUGAAUGUCAUUCUCCUAAAUGAAACUUCUCUGUAUACCUUUGCACAUUCCGUUUCUCCUUUUCUAUAAUACUAUUUUCCUGACUCCAUUUCUGACUAGCUUUUAUAAAUCUUAACUAAGAUAUCAUCCCUCUUAGACUGUCUCCCUUGUAUUCAGCUUCCGAUGUAGAUGCCUCUGUUAGGAGGUCAUAUUUUACUUUUGUCCUGGGAUGGCUUGGAUCACACUAUUUGGUAAUAUAGCCCACAACACUACAUGCUCCCGAAGGGAGACCCGAUGUUGACUUCUUUCUCAUUGCACUGGACACUAAGACACACUUUAGGUGUCAAAGAAUGAAGUAUUAGAGUAAUCUCAAGUCAAUACAGGACAUAUUUGGGAACUGCAUAAAGAUUGUCAAAGCUUAUUUGUAAAAUUGAGAUUAUGUCUACUUUGCAAUAUUGGUUUGAAUUUUAUAUAUAUAUAAUUUUAUUUAUCCCACAACCUUGGCUUUCCAGUCCUGAAAUUCACUGUGAUCUCUAUUGCCUUGCAUAUGGUGUUCCAACUUUUAAAGUUUACUUCCCAAACCUCUUCUUUCAAACUGGUAAAUCCUAAUAACCAGAUCUUAGCUUAGGCUUCAGACUUUGGGGUUUCCUGACUCACUGUCAUAGCUGGGGGAUGGUUGUAUGCCUUCAUGUCACCCCCUGCUUUCCUAGGCUUAGUCCUUGUCUCAGUUUUCUCACCCUGGUCAGUUACCUAUAUAAAAAAGUAUAUGAAAAUGCAUGAGAAAAUAUGCUACAUAUUUUCUCAUACCUCUUUCUUUCAGCCAUGUAACAUGUAUGUAGAAUGUUCUAGGCACUCAGUGAAUAACUGUCAUGUGACUGAGUGACUAAAACCUGAGGACAGUGUUAUGUGAAAAUUACUGGUCUUGCAUUAUGCAUGAAGUCUUGAGAGAUGUUGAGAAGUUGAUCACCUGUUCAAGAAGGCAGCACACUCAUGGCUCGGGCAGCUGUAGAAAGUAGCUCUUCACCAAUGCUGCUUCACAACAUACCGACAAGAAAAGGGCACAGAUUGCUACUUGUAGGGGUAGGGGAAAUGGGGGUGAUGCAGUAUGAAGAGCUUGGACAACAAUAACAAGGAUGAGACUGCAUGUAGCUUUCCCUUUCCUGGCAUGACCUUUUGUGUAGCCUUAGAAAUGUAGAGAAAGCACCCAUAUAUUCCUAUAUUAUAGUCUCCCUUCCUACAGGGCCAUGAAAUGGGGAAACUAUUUUGGCAAUUAGAGUGAGCAAUAUCCAUUAUAAUGCGACUAUAUACCUGGCUUUGAAUAAUUUAUAAAUCAUGUGAAAUAUAUCUGAAGAUAAGAAAGGCUAUUUGAUUUAUUGACUUGUGGUGUUAGAAACAGGUUUUGUUAAGAACAGGGGAUGUACAAUAACUACACUGAUUACUCAUCCGUGUCUCACAUUUUUUGACAUUGAAAUGAAGCGAUUCAUCAAGGCUGCAUUCUCAACUUCCAUAGAGGACAGCAACAGCUCUCAGCUGCCUCUGCCUUUUGCCGGGUGGAGUGGCUGCAGCUCUGAAUUUGGGAAUAGGCUCUGGAUGCCCAUGAGCCAGGAGUAUCCACAGAGCAGUUACGUGUCUGAGCCUUGGGAAUGAAAGCCUCAUUUGUGCACAGAACCAACCUAUCCUUGCAUGGAAAGGAGUUAUAGAUUAUUCCCUCCUUUUCAUUCUCACUAACAUGCAUUACAAAAAAGACCUCAGAACUUUCCUGCCUAUGUAAAUGGAAGCCAUGAACAGAUGUGGAGGAAAUACUGCACCUGAGAUUGGUGCCCUCUUACUUCUCCAUGUGGAGGAAUGAGGCAUCUAAUAUACAUCGGGUUAGCCUCACAUUCGUGUUCAGAAAGAGAAUCAAAAUCGACAGAACUGAUCAAUCUGUAGAUUUUACUCUGUAGUUACACCAUCUCCGUGAGGAUCCCUGGAUGCACCAAGCUAUACAAGUCUAUGGAUCAGUCCUGUUCUGUUCAAAAACAUCUUCACCACACCCUGAAGUCCCCAUCCAGACAAUGCCCCAAGUAAUGAGUUUCCAGAGGCUUUUCCAUGUAUCUAGAAAGGUAUACUGAAUGUCUGCACUCUCCAACUAUAAGGAUCUUCAGCUUCAGAAAAUUAGCCCUUGAGGGGCAACUUCCAACCAGUUUUCUAUAAGCACAAUACCUAUACAUAAAACCAUAGUUUCAAGCUUUCAUGAUCUGUGAUUAAUAAUCAGAUACUUCCCUAGGUCAUUGAUGAAGAAAUGUCUGCUAAGAAUUGUAUGAAAUGGCAGGUUUUCAAAAGUGUGUGUGCUUAGUUAAUGGAUUCUACUGGGAGGCAGCAUUGUGGGGGGCUCCUAGGGUGGGUCUUAUAGUCAGGCUGUUGGAACAUGAACCCUAUUCUCUACUGUCACUAAAUGAUAAACUUGAAGGCUUAGCCUUUUGGGCACUUGAAUGCCUAGGGAUGUUCUUGACCCAUUUGUAAGACUUCCAAUAUUAAUCUUCCAUAAAGUUCAGCUUCUUUCCCCUGCUUUAAAACACAGUUUAAAGUGUGUUCCCUACUGCCUUGUAUAAAUAGAAGCAAGUCUUCAU